rnacentral:rRNA from 1 species
UACGUAGGUGGCAAGCGUUUGUCCGGAAUUAUUGGGCGUAAAGCGCGCGCAGGCGGUCCUUUAAGUCUGAUGUGAAAGCCCACGGCUCAACCGUGGAGGGUCAUUGGAAACUGGGGGACUUGAGUACAGAAGAGAAGAGUGGAAUUCCACGUGUAGCGGUGAAAUGCGUAGAGAUGUGGAGGAACACCAGUGGCGAAGGCGACUCUUUGGUCUGUAACUGACGCUGAGGCGACGAAAGCGUGGGGAGCAAACGGG